GCCAGCGUAGCUCAGUGGUUAGAGCGGUCGUCUCAUAAGCGACAGGUCAGAGGUUCGAUCCCUCUCGCUGGCACAA
rnacentral:tRNA from 5 species